rnacentral:rRNA from 1 species
AUUGAACGCUGGCGGCAUGCUUUACACAUGCAAGUCGAACGGCAGCACGGGGGCAACCCUGUGGCGAGUGGCGAACGGGUGAGUAACACAUCGGAACGUGCCCAGUUGUGGGGGAUAACCUAUCGAAAGGUAGGCUAAUACCGCAUGAGCUCGGCAAGAGGAAAGCGGGGGACUCAGCGAUGGGCCUCGCGCGACUGGAGCGGCCGAUGUCCGAUUAGCAGUUGGUGGGGUAAGGCUUACCAAGGCGACGAUCGGUAGCUGGUCUGAGAGGAUGAUCAGCCACACUGGGACUGAGACACGGCCCAGACUCCUACGGGAGGCAGCAGUGGGGAAGUUUUGGACAAUGGGGGCAACCCUGAUCCAGCCAUGCCGCGUGAGUGAAGAAGGCC